rnacentral:misc_RNA from 1 species
AUUCCUAGUUGUAAUUGGGCGUUACGAUCGGAAACGGCGUAACGGAUCUGCUCAAAGUCGGGGAAAGCUACGGUGUACUCACACCUUGCCAAUCCCGAGCCAAGCCCCAACCGGGGAAGGUGUAGAGACUGGACGGGCAGCACCUAAAGGUUUCGGCCCAAGGUGAAGGGACAGUCCAGACCACGAACGUCG